rnacentral:rRNA from 1 species
GUGAGGAAUUUUCCGCAAUGGGCGAAAGCCUGACGGAGCAAUGCCGCGUGAAGGAUGAAGGCCUAUGGGUUGUAAACUUCUUUUCUCAGAAAAGAAUUAUGACGGUAUCUGAGGAAUAAGCAUCGGCUAACUCUGUGCCAGCAGCCGCGGUAAGACAGAGGAUGCAAGCGUUAUCCGGAAUGAUUGGGCGUAAAGCGUCUGUAGGUUGUUUAAAAAGUAUUCUGUCAAAGAUUAGGGCUUAACCCUAGAUAGGCAGAAUAAACUUUUAAGCUAGAGUUUGGUAGAGGCAGAGGGAAUUCCCGGUGAAGCGGUGAAAUGCGGAGAUAUCGGGAGGAACACCAAAGGCGAAGGCACUCUGCUGGGCCAAUACUAACACUGAGAGACGAAAGCGAGGGGAGCAAAUGGGAUUAGAUACCCGUGUAGUCC